UUAAAUGUUUAGUGAAGCGAUCGACGUGUGAAAAGGAGACGAGGGUUUGCGUUUGUGAUCACUGCAGCUGCCAGAAGUGGAGUCAGUUAGAAUCUGCCAAGCAGCAAAACUUCCCCUGACUGAAAUACUUUAUUUUGAAGACGACUGACGAUUUUCUGAACUGUUAUGGUUUAAUCUUUAAAGCGGCUAACUCUGUCAGAGAAAUGUACUGUAGUAGAAAGUGGUAAAGUACAAACUCAGACGUCCUGCAGACUAAAAUCUAUCAGCACAAACUCUAGUGAAGCGAGUGUUGCAGACAAACGCCACUCUAAGGUCAGAGGUGACGGUCUUCCCCUCCCCCUGCAGCGCUGGAGGUGGCGGGGGCCAGCGCCAGUUGCAGACCUGGAGGUCCGUGCCCCAUCAACAACAAUGACCCCGACCUCCAGAAGGCCCUCCUCGUCGCCCCCAACUACUACAACACCCAAUCAAAAGACUCCUUCCUCUACAAAAUCUCCUCCAUCAAAAAGGCACGGAGUCAGGUUGUUGAAGGGACUUUGUACAUCGUGGAUUUGGCGAUUUCCAGGACCGUCUGCCGUAAACCCCCCAGCGUC